AUUCAAAUUCAAAGAAUAAAUAAUCACAGUUCUGCAGAAGUGUGAGUGCCAGGGGAGGUUUGGUGAUUUCAACACCCUCCAUCUCCAUCAAGUCAUCCCUAUUCUUUUAUGAACACCCAAGUGGCUUCUUGGUCUUAAGUAGGAGAUGGCAAAAGGCCCCCCUCCUCCCAUAACCUCUCUUGGCCCAGCAGGAUGUGGCAGAACGACAACGGGCUGGUUCUGAGCCUCGGCCUCAAGAGGACACACAUGUCCACUCGCUGUCUUGGACCCCUGCCACUGCUGCCAUGAGGACAGCCUGGGCUAGCCCACCGGAGGAUGAAGGAACUGCAGAGAGAGGCCCCAUCCACCCUCACCCAGGCCCGCCUAGACCUGACAGCCCCAGUCACCUAGGGUGACCCACUGCUUCAUUUGCCCAGGAUUGAGGGGUCACCUGGGAUGUAGGUCUUUCAGUGCUAUAACUGGGGCAGUUCCAGGCAAACCAGGACGGUUGAUCACCCUACAGUUGACUCACCAGCUGAUUCAGGUGCAGGAAUAAGCCCACCUGAGUUCAGAAGAGCUAGCCAGCUGACCUGUAAAUGCUUAUUGUUUGAAACCAAUAGAGCAUGAAUUUGGGAGGCUGAAUUUGGGAAGCCAUUUGUUAGACAGCAAAAACUAACAAGGGCACCUUCUCCAUUUCUCUGUGAAGAUCUCAGAGUUGCCCUGCACAUGCAGGGGAGCCAGUAACAGAGAUUACCUUG
ensembl:lncRNA